AAGAUGUUUCUGUGACUCAGAGGGUAGCAUGGUGUGUGCUCUGCUGUUGUUGCCAUAUGUCUUUUAAAUAUUUUUCUGCAGCAGAAACCGAGGAGCUCCAGCCCCUGCACUGGCUGUUUUGCAGAAGCAGGAAUCUUGUAGAGUGACUUGCACCAAUGCUGAACAGUUGUGACAUCUGUGUAGUGUAGUGUUUCUCGUUUUCCUCUCCACUUUCACUGUGUCCAGUAUUAAAGAAAUCACUGCCA
rnacentral:lncRNA from 1 species